UACGUAGGGCGCAAGCGUUGUCCGGAAUUAUUGGGCGUAAAGAGCUCGUAGGCGGCUUGUCACGUCGGGGUGUGAAAGCCCGGGGCUUAACCCCGGGUCUGCAUUCGAUACGGGCAGGCUAGAGUGUGGUAGGGGAGAUCGGAAUUCCUGGUGUAGCGGUGAAAUGCGCAGAUAUCAGGAGGAACACCGGUGGCGAAGGCGGAUCUCUGGGCCAUUACUGACGCUGAGGAGCGAAAGCGUGGGGAGCGAACAGG
rnacentral:rRNA from 1 species